rnacentral:rRNA from 1 species
UGCGGAGGGUGCGAGCGUUAUCCGGAAUUACUGGGUUUAAAGGGUGCGUAGGCGGCCCUGUAAGUCAGGAGUGAAAGUUUGCGGCUCAACCGUAAAAUUGCUUUUGAUACUGCGGGGCUAGAAUUAGGAUGAGGUCAGCGGAAUGUGGCAUGUAGCGGUGAAAUGCAUAGAUAUGCCAUAGAACACCAAUUGCGAAGGCAGCUGGCUAGACCUGGAUUGACGCUGAGGCACGAAAGCGUGGGGAGCGAACAGG